UACUCCUACGGGAGGCAGCAGUGGGGUAUCUUCCGCAAUGGCAGAAAGUCUGAUGCAGCACGCCGCGUGAGUGAAGACGGCCUUCGGGUUGUAAAGCUCUGUGAUCCGGGACGAAAGAACUUGGGUAAAUGACCUAGGGAAGUGACGGUACCGGAAAAGCAAGCCACGGCUAACUACGUGCCAGCAGCCGCGGUAAUAA
rnacentral:rRNA from 1 species